UUUUGGUUUGGCAUUUGUUGUUGUUCGCCAACUCCCAAAUACAAAUACAAAGGAAAAAAUAUAGCCAUCUUCAAGGGUUUGGCAUUUUUGACUUGGCAAUUAGCUAAAGUGGACCCGACCAAAUCAUUUCGCACUUCUUUCUGUCGCGCGCGUGAGUUGGUUCGCGCCUAUUCUCCUUCGCGCGUAUGGAGGCGCCGCCGCUCGCAGGUAUGUGUACGUCGCCGCCGGUUGUGCCC
rnacentral:lncRNA from 1 species